UUAAAUUGAAGAGUUUGAUCAUGGCUCAGAUUGAACGCUGGCGGCAGGCCUAACACAUGCAAGUCGAACGGUAACAGGAAGCAGCUUGCUGUUUCGCUGACGAGUGGCGGACGGGUGAGUAAUGUCUGGGAAACUGCCUGAUGGAGGGGGAUAACUACUGGAAA
rnacentral:rRNA from 3 species